rnacentral:rRNA from 1 species
GCCUAAAAUCUAGCCCACUAACCCCACCUAUAAUCAAUCCUCCCUUUUGUUUAUCAAUAAAACAUUUUUUUAUUUUAGUACAGGAGAUCAAAAAAUUUCUAAGCGCUUUAGAUCAAGUACCGCAAGGGAAAGAUGAAAUAAAAAUGAAACAACUUUAAAGCCCCAAACAGCAGAGAUACUAUCUC